AUAAAACAUACUCGCGGUAACCAGUCGUGGAUGGUUCGGAAAUAGCAGCCAGAAAGAUUCAGGAGCUGUUCCAUUUACCGAUGACCAGGAUUCCGAGGGAACUUUCAUAGAGAUUAAUACCGAAGGAAUCGAAUUACGGUGAAUAUUUGAUGUUUUAUCAAAUGGAUGCAAGGAUAUGUUGCUGCAGCUGUACAUGUACUUAAGCCAGUUGGACUCUCUCGACAACACUCAUAGAAGUUGGACUUUGUGAAAAUGAUUACGGAGUUCAAUCGUGAUUACGAUGACAUUACCAGCGAGAAUAGCGUAUUGGCGAAGGGCGUACUGAAUUGGUCUUCCUGUGUCAGUAAGGAUCGAAUCGUGCUCGGGUGGAAUUGCUAUUUCCGGAGCACAGUCUACGUCUGCAGGAUGUCAGCUACUUAUCCAAAUUCCUCACGGCAAGUAGAACCGUUGUUCCGGCAAGUGGGAAAACAUACAGUCAGAUACGGAUAGCACAAAUGCGGAAAUCCGUCGAUACGGAGACUCGUUCCAAAGGCAGCCAUCGUAGAAUUUUUAUUUUGCCCCUGCUGUUGCCGAAACAACUCAUACAGAAAAUGCGCUUUUCGCCAACAAAAAAAUCGUUCGUUCGGAGGAUUCCUCUGCAUACGAUGGGAUGCGAGUCAGUGAGGCGGAUAGGCGAACAAAAAACAUGUUGAAUUUAUUUUUUUA